UACGGGGGGGGCAAGCGUUGUUCGGAAUUACUGGGCGUAAAGGGUUUGUAGGUGGCCUGCUAAGUCAGACGUGAAAUCCCUCAGCUUAACUGGGGAACUGCGUCUGAGACUGGCAGGCUCGAGGACAGGAGAGGAACGCGGAAUUCCAGGUGUAGCGGUGAAAUGCGUAGAUAUCUGGAGGAACACCGGUGGCGAAGGCGGCGUUCUGGACUGUUUCUGACACUGAAAAACGAAAGCCAGGGGAGCAAACGGG
rnacentral:rRNA from 1 species